AGAUAUGAUCCAGAGUACCACGGGACACGUGAAACCCUGUGGGAAGCAGGAGGGACCACCCUCCAAGGCUAAAUACUACCUAGUGACCGAUAGCGUAUAGUACCGUGAGGGAAAGGGGAAAAGAACCCCGGGAGGGGAGUGAAAUAGAACCUGAAACCCUGCACUUACAAGCUGUGGAAGCACAUUUCUUGUGUGACCGCGUACUUUUUGUAGAACGGGCCAACGAGUUACGUUAAGUAGCAAGGUUAAGCACUUAAGGUGUGGAGCCGUAGCGAAAGCGAGUUUUAACUGAGCGUUCAGUUACUUGACGUAGACCCGAAACCGGGCGACCUACCCAUGAGCAGGAUGAAGCGAAAGUAAAAUUUCGUGGAGGUCCGAACCCACGAGCGUUGAAAAGCUCGGGGAUGACUUGUGGGUAGCGGUGAAAUUCCAAUCGAGCCCGGAGAUAGCUGGUUCUCCCCGAAAUAGCUUUAGGGCUAGCCUCAAGGUGAGAGAUACGGAGGUAGAGCACUGAAUGUCCUAGGGGGUAUUGCACCUACCGAAGACUAUCAAACUCCGAAUGCCGUCAUCUUAUACUUGGGAGUCAGACUGUGGGUGAUAAGAUUCAUAGUCGAAAGGGCAACAGCCCAGAUCGUCAGCUAAGGUCCCUAAAUGUAAGUUAAGUGGUAAAGGAUGUGGGAUUGCACAGACAACCAGGAUGUUGGCUUAGAAGCAGCCACUCAUUCAAAGAGUGCGUAAUAGCUCACUGGUCGAGUGAUCCUGCGCCGAAGAUUUCCGGGGCUAAAACUUACUACCGAAGCUACGGCAUCAGUAAUGAUGGGUAGGGGAGCUUCCCAUACGGGUUGAAGCAUGACCGUAAGGACAUGUGGACAGUAUGGGAGUGAGAAUGUUGGCAUGAGUAGCGAGAUGUGGGUG
rnacentral:rRNA from 1 species